GGCGGUGCCAUGGCAGGGUUCCCUGUGGCAGGAAGAAUGUAGCAAUGAACCAUGGGAGUUGUGGUCUCCCGGGUUCUCAGACAAUAUUUGAUUGUCAUUGGUUAGAGGGUCACGUGACAUGUUCAGGUGUGGUAUUUAAACCUUGGCAGUUUGAAUAAACGGUAAUUCUGCUCUGGCACCUGUUCGUGUCUGAGUGGGGUUCGUGCCUUGAACAGCACCUCAAAUGGCCGUCCGAUAAGGGACUUCAGCAGGUUACCGGUAACCAGGAGCAGAAGCUCUGGGGAACCUGUCCGGGGGUGUCCAUAUCGCCAAAACCAAAAGGAAGAAAAGAAAGAAUUCAGCGCGCUGGGUUACCUCUGCAAAAAGGAACAAAAAAGGAAGAAAAAAGGACCAGAAGAAAGGACAACAGAGCUUCAGCACAGAGGUAACCAAAAAUUGGCGAAUAUGGGAGGGUGGUUUACCCGUCAGGAGGGAAAUACUCCAAAAAUCAAACAAACAGCUGAAGCUAUCUCUCAACUUUUACAAGAACAGAGCAUAACCAUAGAAGAAAGUAAGUUAUGGGACUUGUUAUAUUGGAUUUCGUUGCAUGAACCUGCACUACCUCUGACUGGACCUUGUCAAGUGUCAUCUUGGAGGAAAAUAGGGAACAAAAUUAUUGAAAAAGCCAGUGAGGGAGAAACAGACGCCCUCAAGAAUUUGGCUACAUGGAAGGACAUUAUGAUAGCCUUGAAUAAGCACUACAGAAAGGCAAAUGCACCCAGGAGAGUGGACUUCCCCCCCCCUCACUCUUUUCCCCUCAACCCCCCCCCUUCAACCCCAGCCCCCCCUUCGACCGAGUGGGGCAGGGGGAGAAUGCACGUUGGUCAGGGGGGAUGGGGGGGAGGAGGAGCCCUUGGGGGGAACAGUGCAGUGGCAGCGUGUGGUGUGGAGGAGCAUGGCUUGGGGGCUGGCAGCAUGAGCAUGGCAGCAGGGGGGGAUGCUGGCUUUAUACCAGCGCCCAUGGCUGCAGUUGAGACCAUGCCAUACAGAGCAGCAAGCAGUGCUGCUGGAGCCGGGGACCGUUACAGAGCAGCGCCUAACCCUGGACUGUUACGGGACGACUGUUACACAGCAGUUGCACAGUCAACGUGCAGAAGGAGAGUGGCACCGGAGGCACCGCCAUGUUGCCCCUCCCGCGCAGCGGAAGUGAGGCCGCCUCCCCCAGGUUCAAGUGUUUCGCCGGGAAGGGGGGAGAAUGACUAUGAUGGACAAAUGGACAGCGAGUCUAUAGAGGACACAGAAGGAGAAACAGCUUCAGGAUUGGGUAGAGGUCCCUCCAUAGGUUUAUGGGAUAAAUGCAGGGAGGAAGCAUCUCGUGCGGGUGAUUGGAAAGUGGUAAAUGCAUGCCCUGUUAUAAAUCGACCCCGGCAAGGCCCCCAGUACCAAGCUUUAUCAUACGAGGUGAUCAAGGAUUUAAGGCAGAUAAUUAAAGAGAGUGGUGUCUCCUCACCAUGCUGCCUUCCAGGCACUUUGCUAUUCACUCAAAGCACAUACUAUUUUUUCUUUAACAUCUGUUACUUUUUAUUGUUUGU
ensembl:lncRNA